AUUGAACGCUGGCGGCAGGCCUAACACAUGCAAGUCGAGCGAGCGGCGGACGGGUGAGUAAUGUCGGGGAAACUGCUGGAUGGAGGGGGAUAACUACUGGAAACGGUAGCUAAUACCGCAUACCAUCAGACGUGCCCAGAUGGGAUUAGCUAGUAGGUGGGGUAACGGCUCCCCUAGGCGACGAUCCCUAGCUGGUCUGAGAGGAUGACCAGCCACACGGGAACUGAGCCACGGUCCAGACUCCUACGGGAGUCAGAAGUGGGGAAUAUUGCACAAUGGGCGCAAGCCUGAUGCAGCCAUGCCGCGUGUGUGAAGAAGGCCGUCGGGUUGUAAAGCACUUUCAGCGGGGAGGCGUGACCCGCAGAAGAAGCACCGGCUAACUCCGUGCCAGCCGCCGCGGUAAUAC
rnacentral:rRNA from 1 species